rnacentral:misc_RNA from 1 species
CUGCCCUCAAGCACGGCUUGUGUGUUGGGCCCCGUCCCCCGGUCCCGGGGGACGGGCCCGAAAGGCAGCGGCGGCACCGCGUCCGGUCCUCGAGCGUAUGGGGCUUUGUCACCCGCUCUGUAGGCCCGGCCGGCGCCUGCCGAUCAACCCAUUUUUAUCCAGG